rnacentral:rRNA from 1 species
GACGAACGCUGGCGGCGUGCCUAAUACAUGCAAGUAGAACGCAGUUGCGAACGGGUGAGUCACGCGUAGGUAACUGCCUCAUCGCGGGGGAUAACUAUUGGACACGAUAGCUAAUACCGCAUACUGUGCGAUGGACCUGCGUGGUAUUAGCUAGUUGGUGAGGUCAAGGCUCACCAAGGCGACGAUACAUCGCCGACCUGAGAGGGUGAUCGGCCAGACUGGGACUGAGAAACGGCCCAGACUCCUACAGGAGGUAGCAGUAGGGAAUCUACGGGAAUGGACAGAAGUCGGACCGGGCAACGCCGCGUGAGUGAAGAAGGGUUUCGGAACAGAAAGCUCUGUUGUUAGAGAAGCUGUAACUAACCAGAAAGAGACGGCUGAGUACGUGCCAGAAGCCGCGGUAAUAG